rnacentral:rRNA from 1 species
UAGGGCAUCUUCCACAAUGGGCGAAAGCCUGAUGGAGCAACGCCGCGUGUGUGAUGAAGGGUUUCGGCUCGUAAAACACUGUUGUAAGAGAAGAAUGACAUUGAGAGUAACUGUUCAAUGUGUGACGGUAUCUUACCAGAAAGGAACGGCUAAAUACGUGCCAG